rnacentral:lncRNA from 1 species
GCGGGGCUACGGGAGAGAGAGAGAGAGGCGAGCUUUAGAACCAUGCUGGCACUUGGUGCUCGAAGUCGCACCAAUCGAGGAGGAUAAACUCCUUGGAGGCAGGUUGGACCAGUUGGGGUUCGGAUCUCGGAGCAACGACGUGGUGGUGUUGGAAGAGAAACACUGGCAGAGGCGAUGGCGCCGGUGAGGGGACGGAGGCAGUAGUUCAAUGAGGGAGAGACAGUAGCCGUGGAAAGAGAGCAGGAGAGGGAGGAGAGCGCUAGGGUUUCAGAGAAGAGCGAGAGAGAAAUAGCUGAACGCAGAGAACGAGCUCAGGUCGGGGACGCGAAGGAGGCAGUCAGAGACUCAGAGUGAGAGUCUAUCGAUUAGGGUUCG